CGUCCAGACUCCUACGGGAGGCAGCAGUGGGGAAUAUUGCACAAUGGGCGAAAGCCUGAUGCAGCGACGCCGCGUGAGUGAAGAAGUAUUUCGGUCUGUAAAGCUCUAUCAGCAGGGAAGAAAAUGACGGUACCUGACUAAGAAGCCCCGGCUAACUACGUGCCGGCAGCCGCGGUAAUACGUAGGGGGCAAGCGUUAUCCGGAUUUACUGGGUGUAAAGAGUUGCGUAGGUGGCAUAAUAAGUAGCUAGUGAAAUCUGGUGGCUCAACCAUUCAGACUAUUAGCUAAACUGUUAAGCUCGAGACCGUUAGGGGUAACUGGAAUUUCUAGUGUAGGAGUGAAAUCCGUAGAUAUUAGAAGGAACACCAAUAGCGUAGGCAGGUUGCUGGGACGGUUCUGACACUAAGGCACGAAAGCGUAGGGAGCAAACGGGAUUAGAUACCCGAGUA
rnacentral:rRNA from 1 species